rnacentral:rRNA from 1 species
UACGUAGGGUCCAAGCGUUAUCCGGAAUUACUGGGCGUAAAGGGCUCGUAGGUGGCCAACUAAGUCGGACGUGAAAUCCCUCAGCUUAACUGGGGAACUGCGUCCGAUACUGGAUGGCUUGAGUUUGGGAGAGGGAUGCGGAAUUCCAGGUGUAGCGGUGAAAUGCGUAGAUAUCUGGAGGAACACCGGUGGCGAAGGCGGCAUCCUGGACCAACACUGACACUGAGGAGCGAAAGCCAGGGGAGCAAACGGG